GAUGAACGCUGGCGGCGUGCUUAACACAUGCAAGUCGAGCGAGAGAGUUCUUCGGAACAAUCUAGCGGCGGACGGGUGAGUAACACGUGGGCAACCUGCCUCAUAGAGGGGAAUAGCCUUCCGAAAGGAAGAUUAAUACCGCAUAACAUCGUUGAAGGGCAUCCUUCGAUGAUCAAAGGAGUAAUCCGCUAUGAGAUGGGCCCGCGGCGCAUUAGCUAGUUGGUGAGGUAACGGCUCACCAAGGCGACGAUGCGUAGCCGACCUGAGAGGGUGAUCAGCCACAUUGGGACUGAGACACGGCCCAGACUCCUACGGGAGGCAGCAGUGGGGAAUAUUGCACAAUGGGGGAAACCCUGAUGCAGCAACGCCGCGUGAGUGGUGACGGCCUUCGGGUUGUAAAGCUCUGUCUUUGGGGACGAUAAUGACGGUACCCAAGGAGGAAGUCACGGCUAACUACGUGCCAGCCGCCGCUGUAAGAC
rnacentral:rRNA from 1 species